rnacentral:ncRNA from 2 species
AGGUACAGAAGAGGUGCGUUAACUAGGUAGUAAGUCUGAGAAGUCCAAACUUUGAUGAUGGCUUAUGAGGGAGAUUAACGCCGAGGUGUUGCAGUGUUUGGAAUCACUCAAUAUCGGUCGAAUGGGCUGAAUCCCAUAGAUUGUCACCUUUUAUUGGUGGAGAGCUUCUGGUGGU